rnacentral:rRNA from 1 species
UCCCAUAACCGCAUCACUCGGAAUGCGCUCGAUCCAGUCAAACCUCGGGAGCUCAGAAGGUUGAGCCUGGAUAGUGCUUGGAUGGGAGACCACCUGGUAUGAAAAGAGGUGGAGC